GGGCGUGUGGCGUAGUUGGUAGCCGUUCGCCUGCAAGCGAAGGUCAUCGGUUCGACUCCGGUCUCGUCCA
rnacentral:tRNA from 1 species